rnacentral:rRNA from 1 species
AGUGAACGCUGGCGGUAGGCCUAACACAUGCAAGUCGAACGGCAGCACAGUAAGAGCUUGCUCUUACGGGUGGCGAGUGGCGGACGGGUGAGGAAUACAUCGGAAUCUACUUUUUCGUGGGGGAUAACGUAGGGAAACUUACGCUAAUACCGCAUACGACCUACGGGUGAAAGCAGUGGUUCUUCGGACCUUUCGCGAUUGAAUGAGCCGAUGUCGGAUUAGCUAGUUGGCUGGGUAAAGGCCCACCAAGGCGACGAUCCGUAGCUGGUCUGAGAGGAUGAUCAGCCACACUGGAACUGAGACACGGUCCAGACUCCUACGGGAGGCAGCAGUGGGGAAUAUUGGACAAUGGGCGCAAGCCUGAUCCAGCCAUACCGCGUGGGUGAAGGAGGCCUUCGGGUUGUAAAGCCCUUUUGUUGGGAAAGAAAAGCAGCAGGUUAAUACCCCGCUGUUCUGACGGUACCCAAAGAAUAAGCACCGGCUAACUUCGUG